AUUGAACGCUGGCGGCAGGCCUAACACAUGCAAGUCGAGCGGAUGAAGGGAGCUUGCUCCUGGAUUCAGCGGCGGACGGGUGAGUAAUGCCUAGGAAUCUGCCUGGUAGUGGGGGAUAACGUCCGGAAACGGGCGCUAAUACCGCAUACGUCCUGAGGGAGAAAGUGGGGGAUCUUCGGACCUCACGCUAUCAGAUGAGCCUAGGUCGGAUUAGCUAGUUGGUGGGGUAAAGGCCUACCAAGGCGACGAUCCGUAGCUGGUCUGAGAGGAUGAUCAGUCACACUGGAACUGAGACACGGUCCAGACUCCUACGGGAGGCAGCAGUGGGGAAUAUUGGACAAUGGGCGAAAGCCUGAUCCAGCCAUGCCGCGUGUGUGAAGAAGGUCUUCGGAUUGUAAAGCACUUUAAGUAGGGAGGAAGGGCAGUAAGUUAAUACCUUGCUGUUUUGACGUUACCAACAGAAUAAGCACCGGCUAACUUCGUG
rnacentral:rRNA from 1 species